CAAAAGCAUUAUGCCAUCCGCUUGCCCCGGACACGCGCCGCUGAGAAAGAAAGAGGAGAGGCACCCGAGCGCACACCCUCCGUGAGGAAAUGUCAAGAGCGUACCGGGGCGGGGGCUCACACGCCGCUGCCGGAGAGCGGAAGGGCAAGGGCUGGACACCCCGCUGCAGCAGUGGGGAAUGGACCAGCCCCCUCCAUUCCCAGCUUUGCCGAAACAGAUCCCAGGCUCCCCGCGCCGAGUCACAAGGCGCCACCCAUGAUUCUUGAGGGGGGACAGCAGCGAGUGCGCCGUGCUACGGGACUCCACUGAGCCCUGCUUCCCUCAGGGGCAGAUCUGCACUGUGAAGGAGCUGGACUAUGAGAUCAGCCAUGGACGCUACACCCUGGUUGUCACUGCCACAGACCAGUGUCCAAUCCCAUCACGCCAUCUCACAACCACUACAAUGAACACACACAGCAUGAUCACUGGCAGCCCAAGCUUCCUCACACCAUCCCACCCAUGGGCUCAAUCCUACAAGUGGUUGAGCACUCAGGACCUGAUUCAGCAAGACACUUAAGGACGUGAUUGGCAAGCUUUAAGCACAAGAAGGAUCCCAAUUCCAAUGGGAACUGCACUUGUGAGGUCCCUGGAGUCUUUUACAUUCCAAAAAUUACUUUCUUUUACUAACAGAUGUUUUGUCCACGAUUUCCCUACAGAGCUCAGCACUGUAUACCGCUCCCUCAAACUCCUCAGGGACCCCAACAGGCUAGUCUCCUACUUGUUGCUGUAACACUGAUGUUCUGACCCCUGACAUGUAUGUUAUCAUAGCUUGUCUAACACCACUUCCUGCCCUCCCUGUAGUUUCACUGAAGUGACCAAGAACACAAUCCUACCUCCAGGAGUCUGCAGGCUGUGUCAUGCUGACCUCUGUGGAUAUGGACAAGCACACAGGCUCGGACUACAUUGAUGUUGGUGAGGAAAUAUUCCUGAAGCUUGCACCCCAUCAUUGCCUCAACCAGCUUCUCCAGGCUGGGAGACAUGCUCUGAAGAUCGUGGCAGAGUUGUCCUGCUAGAUCCAGCAGCUUGGCCUGUGGAGGGUCCUUGUUUUUAUUUUUAUUAAGCAGCGCCAUGAACCGCUUCAUGCUUACAUUCCUCUGGACACCUCUUCUAUGCAACAAAGAAACAGCAUCUGAUGUUUGAGCUGCUAGAUGAACACUCCCCUCCCAAUGAAGACGCAU